CCUACGGGAGGCAGCAGUGAGGAAUAUUGGUCAAUGGGCGCUAGCCUGAUCCAGCCACGCAGCGUGAAGGAUGACUGCCCUAUGGGUUGUAAACUUCUUUUAUAUGGGAAUAAAGUGCAGUAUGUAUACUGCUUUUCAUGUCCCUUAUGAAUAAGGAUUGGCUAACUCCGUGCCAGCAGCCGCGGUAAUACGGAGGAUGCGAGCGUUAUCCGGAUUUAUGGGGUUAAAAGGGUGCGUAGGCGGAAUGCAAAGUCAGCGGUAAAAUCGCGGGGCUCAACCUCGCUCCGCAGUUGAAACUGGAGUUCGUGAGUGGGCGAGAAGUAUGCGGAAUGCGAGGUGUAGCGGUGAAAUGCAUAGAUAUCACGCAGAACUCCGAUUGCGAAGGCAGCAUACCGGAGCCCAACUGACGCUGAAGCACGAAAGCGUGGGUAGCGAACAGGAUUAGAUACCCUUGUAGUC
rnacentral:rRNA from 1 species